rnacentral:lncRNA from 1 species
GGGAGAGGCUAGGAGGAGGAGGAUAAGCUGUAAUAAAAGCAUACAAAUGAAUAAUUGAAUUAAGUUUUCUAUACCUCAGGGGAAACUAUUAGGAAGGUUUUCCCACUGAGAUUGCUGCAUGUUUAGUGGCUGUAACAUUACCUUCCCUUUCCUCACCCGCUGAAGCAAACAACGAUAUUCAGACCCAGGCUUUUUCACAUUGUGUCCUUCCCAGUAUCGCUGAUGCUGUAGAGCUCCCUGGCACAUAGAGUACAAAAAGCCUGAGUUCCUCUGUCUGUAGCUGACUGGCAGGCACAGGGAACCUGUAGGGCUUGUACUUUCCUGAUGCGCAAUUAGAGCCAGUGGGCUGGAAACAGAUGGUUAUGCUAUGGUAAAAUUACUGGCGUAAGAUGUAAACAGUUCCAUCCAAGCUAUAUUUUGUUUCUGUGCGCAGAGGCAAAAAGGAAAAACUGGGAUAGAGCCCAAACUGGGUUGGUUUGCAGCAUUCUCAAGGAUUUUCUCCAGCGCAAUUGCACCUAGGCAGUGGCUCUGUGCAGGUUUUGGGGAGGAAGGGAAGUGGGGUAUUUACUCAGAGAUGAAAGCCUUCAUCUAUUCUGCAGAUAUUCAAAGGAAGGCUCGUGCUUUCAGGGGGAAGCUGUUGAUCCUCAAGAGAAGGACAGCAUUGCCAAGCAGGAUAUGGUGUUGCAUUGGGAGUUACAAAUGUUGCUGUCUCAGACUCAGAACAGAGCCUGAAGGAAAGUUAAAAAUUCAGUAAUUCCAAGAAACGAGGGGGAUGUUGCACUGUCACAGCAAGCCCUGCAGAUCCAUGCAGGUCUCCAGCCCACCAGUCCCUUCUUACCUUCAGCCACCAGAACUCAGGCUUACACACUGCAAUUUAUAUUGAUUUUU